GCCUCGGUGGCCUAUUGGUUAGAGCGUCCGCCUCGGAUGCAGGAGGUCGCGGGUUCUAACCCAGGUCGAGUCA